UAGGGAAUCUUCCACAAUGGGCGCAAGCCUGAUGGAGCAACACCGCGUGAGUGAAGAAGGGUUUCGGCUCGUAAAACUCUGUUGUUAAAGAAGAACACGUAUGAGAGUAACUGUUCAUACGUUGACGGUAUUUAACCAGAAAGUCACGGCUAACUACGUGCCAC
rnacentral:rRNA from 1 species